CUAAAUCACAAAAUCAAAAUUAAAAAAAUAAAAAAAAAUUCCAUUUUUCUUUCUUUCUUCCUAAUUUUCAUUCACUUCAAAAUCCUCAACCUCAUUUCCUCACUAAAUUCUCUCUCAAAAUCUAUCUAUAUUCUUUCCUCAUUCAAUUCCUUCAUCAUUAGAUUGCUUCAAUUUCACAAAUUCCCAUCAAUGCGCACCGUUUUGUUCCCAUUUCACAAAACCUAGUUUCUAGGGUUAAGAGCUAGUGUUAGGGUUUGAAUUUUGUGCUCUUUUCUCUCAUCAAGUUUCAAUCUUUCUUCAAAACCCAUCAAAUUGCUGCGAUUACCAACCGAUUUGGCAUGGUGGGUGACGACGAUGCUCCAGCUCCGUGCCACCUUCCGUCUAACCGGAAAAUGUUCUGGCGGUCGGCGUCGUGGUCUUCCGCUCGUUCCUCCGCCGCUAACCCGUCCGGUGAACCGGAGUCGAAUUUUGCUGAUCCCAAUUCAAAUUCAGCUGAAGGGAUUAAUACCAACCGGAGAUUUCCUCCACCUCCAUUGACGCCGAGGAGCCAGCAGAAUUGUAAGGCGAGGUCGUCGUGUUUGCCGCCGCUUCAGCCGCUUUCGAUUGCUCGCCGGAGUUUGGAUGAGUGGCCGAAGGCGAGUUCGGAUGAUAUCGGGGAGUGGCCGCAACCGCCGAUUACUCCCGGUGGUAGAGGUAAUGGUAAUGGUAAUGGUAAUAGUAGUGUUAGUAAUAGCAAUGGUGAAAGGUUGAAACUUGAUUUGUCUUCUAUUCAGCAGAAUAGUAAUCAUGAUAGUAGGAAUAAUGGGGGGCUUGUGAAGAGAGAUAAGAUUGCUUUUUUCGAUAAGGAGUGUUCGAAAGUUGCUGAACAUGUUUACCUUGGUGGUGAUGCUGUUGCUAAGGAUAGGGGGAUUUUGAAAAGGAAUGGGAUUACUCAUGUUUUGAAUUGUGUAGGUUUCGUGUGUCCGGAGUAUUUCAAAGCUGAUUUUGUGUAUAGAACUUUGUGGUUACAGGAUAGUCCUAGUGAGGAUAUAACUAGUAUUUUGUAUGAUGUGUUUGAUUACUUUGAGGAUGUUAGGGAAAAGAGUGGGAGGGUGUUUGUUCAUUGUUGUCAAGGGGUGUCGAGGUCGACUUCUCUUGUUAUUGCUUAUCUUAUGUGGAGGGAAGGGCAGAGUUUCGAUGAUGCUUUUCAGUUUGUGAAGGCGGCCAGAGGUAUUGCGGAUCCGAAUAUGGGUUUCGCUUGUCAGUUGUUGCAGUGUCAGAAAAGGGUUCACGCGUUUCCGCUUAGUCCUAGCUCGUUGUUGAGAAUGUAUAGGAUUGCUCCUCACUCGCCGUAUGAUCCUUUGCAUCUUGUUCCCAAGAUGUUGACCGAUCCGUCUUCGUGUGCUCUUGACUCUAGGGGUGCGUUUAUAGUUCACAUUCCGUCUGCAAUAUAUGUUUGGAUUGGCAAGAAGUGUGAGGCUAUUAUGGAAAGGGAUGCUAGAGGGGCUGCGGGUCAGAUUGUCCGGUAUGAAAGAGUGCAAGGAUCUAUUAUCAUGAUUAAGGAAGGUGAGGAACCGCCUUCUUUUUGGGAUGCUUUUUCGAAGUUUUUGCCUUUGAUGGACAUAUCGGGAAGUGGGGUAGAAAGUAGCAAAACAAGUGUUAUAAAUUUUCCUGGCGAGAGGAAAGUGGAUGCGUACAAUGUCGAUUUUGAAGUUUUUGGAAAAGCCAUCGUGGGAGGUUUUGUGCCUCCGUUUGCGUCAUUAGAGAACGAACAUGAAACCCAUCUUCCCGCAAGAGAGAGUAGCUGGAGUGUUUUAAGGCGGAAAGAUUCCUCCGCAAAUGUGAAGGAAUUUGUCUCGGCCCCUAAGUUAUCCUUACCGCGAGUCUAUUCAGAUUCCGUGUUGUGUAUUCAUGCAUCUGCAAUUUCAUUUCCAUCCCCAUCAUCAUCGUCAACAACAUCGUCUUUAUCAUCAUCCUCUUCACCGCCUUUUGUCUCUCCAGAUUCCGAUUCUUCUGAUUCUAGCAAUCACUCAAAGUUUUUGUUAGAAUUGUCACCAGAUUCUUCCUCUCUAGUUCUUGCUCCCGUUCCGGUAUCUUCAUCUUUGUCUAACUUCUCUAGUUUGUCCCUCUCAAAUUCCACCUCUCUACCGGUGUCUAACUGUAAAGAUAUCUAUGAUGUCAAAUUAUCAAAUCUAUCUUCUCAGUCUGCCUCUUUACCAUCCAAAAAAUCAUCGACUUCCAUUGCUGAACGCAGAGGUAGUUUAUCGAAGUCUUUGAAGUUGCCUCUAAUGAAUGAUAAGACUCAAGUAAUAGAUAAACCAUCAACUAUUUCUGCUGGUCGGGAACACGGUGUUCUCAGUAACAACAACUUUAGCUGUGUACAAGAUUCAGACAGUAUAGACUAUUUGUUCGAGUCCACCAAUCAUCAUCAUGUCAAAGACAGAGCUGAGCCUUCCGUAGAUAGUUUGUCAAGAGAAAAUUUGAAGUCUACCGCGUCAAAGGGAACUAAUGAGAGCGACUCAUUGCAAUGUACUAGGACACAAACUGUAGUAUAUCGCUGGCCUAGUUUAGAAAAGAUCGAGACAUUUGGUUCCAAUCAUUUGAGCUCUGAGGCUGCUUUUGUUAUAUUCUCUCCAAGUAUACUUAUGCCAGCAGGAAAUGUUUUAUAUCUAUGGGUAGGGAGUUCUUUCAAACUGGACGCUUCUUCACAGGAUCGGUUAGAUAGUGAUAGGCAGUCCGAUUUUCUUGAAGCAGUUGACUGGAACAGAAUUGGCUGUGAUCUUCUUGUUCAGUUUAAUUUGCCGAAGAAUACAGUUACUAAGAUUGUUAAAGAGAAUGAAGAACCCCGAGAGUUCCUUGCUUUGCUGAGUUCAUUGUAGCACAAGCGGUACUAGAAGAAACCCGGGUUCAAGUAGAUUUCGUAAUCUUUCCUUCAUCUGCAGCUGUCUCUAUGUAUGUCAAUUUUGAAGACUCUAAUCUGAUUUUCCCUGGAAAAGAAAUCCAGCAAGGAGGGUUGCCAUUUUAAGGAGUCCAUUGUAGCUUGGCUGAUUCUACAAUGCUUAACAUCUUCAACCUAGAUAUUUAUUUUCAACAUAGUGACAUACAGAUUUUUUAAAUAUUCUCAUGUUAUUUAAGGAGGAAAGAAAUCUCAAAUCCUUCAUUAAAUGUAUCACUUAUUGAGAGUUUAUAAAUUAAUAGAAACAGCUCGAUGUUGUAUAAGUUCUUCAUUAAACGAAAUCACAUAGUUUUAGUUGCACAUUGUAAAUUACUGAAACAUGCUUUGUAUGAUAGACAUCUGUGACAAUUAUUACUUUAGAAGUCCUUUGCAA